UCUGCGGGCCGUCUCCCUCCUCUCUCUCUCCCCGUUCUCCGUUCCGAUGCGGUGAGAACUGAGAACAAAAUCGCAGAGAGGGUUGAGAGAAAAAAAUUAAAGGUUGAGACCCUCCUCCGCCUUUGCCUCCGCUGGUUGCUUCCAUCGCCCCCCCACUCUGACGCCGACGCUGCCGACGCUCCUCCGCCUCCCUCUCGCGACCUCCGCUCUGCUCUCCCUCUCUCCCCACUCCGCGAAGUCGUGCCUCUCUUCCAGCGAAGCGCGACCCCGACGCCGACGCCGACGCCCCUCCACCUCCGCCUCCGCCGGUUGCCUCCCGUCGCCGACGCCCUUUCGCCUCCCUCUCGCGACCUCCGCUCCGCUCUCUCCCUCUUUCCUCUGCGGAGCGCCCUUGCUGGCCAACCCCGACGCCGACGAACCCCUGCUCGCGUUUUGCCCUCCCUCUCCGCGAGCGAAGGUCGCUCUUCUCGCUCUCUCUCUCUCUUUCCUCCGCGAAGCGCCCCCUGCUCCUGAACGCGGACUCCGCCGACGCCGUCGCCUCCCGCCGUCGCCUUCCCAAGCCCCACCGAUAGGCACCCCAUUGGACUCCCGUACGUCCGAAGUGUCACAACGUGCUUCUACAUUCUUUGGCAAUUUCUCAAGCUCUCACCUCAAGAGUCUUCACAAGAUCCCAUCUACCAUGUUCUGCUGCAGCAUUCUAGCAAGUGGAUGAUAGCGACGCUAAUCGACUUCUACAUCAACGUUGUUGCUCUUUCUGUUUGGGUUGCUUAUAAGGAAUCGAGUUGGCUUAGUGCAUUUGUGUGGAUCCUUCCCUUGAUAUGCUUUGGCAGAUUUCUAUUGUAGCCCAAUGAUGUUGUAUCCGUACCUAAGCUUCAAUAUAUUGGAUUCAUAGCCAACCAUUUGGUAUUGCCGAAGGGAAUUCUUGAAGAAUUAUUUCUAUUUUGAAGACAUCACCUCAGUUAAUUUGCACGUGUAAAGUUAUCGAAUGGCUGAAUUAGAGGUAAUUUUUUACUCAUACAAUGUGAAAUAUAUUUUCUUUUCUUUUGAUGUUAUUUUUCUUAUUGAUUACUUAUUAUUCAUUUGGUUGCAGCAUGAAACUUCCCAUCUUGCACAUGUAAUGCGUGAUAUGGAAAAUGAUUUUGAGUUUGCCAUCGGGAUGGUUUUUUCUAAUGAACUUGAAGCAUAUCAUAAGUAUGUGGCUUAUGCAAUUAAUAAAGGAUUUGGAGUGAGGAAGGGUCAUACUGUUAAAAAUAGAAAAGGAGAAAUAACUCGGCGAACUUUUUUGUGCAAUUGUGAGGGCCAUUCUGUCACACCAUUUGAUCAAGAAAAGAAAUUUGAGAGGCUUGAAGUUAGAUGUGGGUGUAUUGCUCAUAUCAAGUUUAAGGUUGAUAAUGGUAUCUAUGAGGUUAUAGAGUAUGUUUCUGAGCAUAAUCAUGCAUUUGUAUCGGAAUAUCAAAAGCAUUUGAUUAGAUGUGGAAAGAUGAUAUCCGAUACUGUUGUAGUUGAUAUCAUUAAAGCAGGCAUUGGUGGGACUACGGCACAUAAGUUUUUAGCAAAUGAAGCAGGAGGAGGAAGUAAAAACUUGGGUUUAUGUCAAAAUUUUUUACAGACAGAAAGCAAUAAGGAUGUAGAUGGGAGAGAUUAUCAAAAUCUUUUGAAUCAUUUCAAUUGCAUGCAAAUGCAAAAUCCAAUGUUUUUCUACGCUGUACAAGUAGAUCAAGAUGGUAGAUUGACAAAUUUAUUUUGGAGAGAUAGUUUGUCCAAAUUCGAUUACCAUUGUUUUGGUGAUGUAGUGGUGUUUGAUUCCACGUAUCGAAUUAAUAGAAAUAAUUUGAUUUGUGCACCUUUUGUUGGGGUUAAUCACCAUUGGAAAAAUACUCUGUUUGGAUGUGCAUUUUUGUUGGACGAGACUGCAGAAUCAUUUACUUGGUUAUUUGAUGUGUUUUUGGAGUCUAUGGAAAAUAAGGCUCCUAAAACCAUAUUUACUGAUCAAGAUCAAGCUAUGGCAAAAGCCAUUAGAAGGGUGUUUCCGAAUACACAGCAUCGUUUAUGCCCUUGGCACAUAAUAAAAAAUGCCAAUCAAAACAUUCCACAACUAUACCAUAAGUCGGGUUUUAGAGAUAAGUAUUUUUUAAGACUUAUGUAUAGAUGCAAAUCGGAGGACGAAUUUGAAUCUACUUGGAUGGAAAUGGAAGAGGAGUGGGGUACUCAGAACAACAAUUGGCUUCAGAGAUUAUACGGCUUUAGACAUAAAUGGAGUUCAGCUUUUGGUCGUGAUAUUUUUUCGUGUGAUAUAUGGUUAAGCCAAAGGAGUGAGAGUACUAAUAAUGUCUUCCAGCAUAUUUCGAAGAAGACAUCAUCCCUUGUACAAUUUGUCAAUUAUUAUGAAGAGCAAUUGAAGCACAUGAGAGAAACUGAAAUUUAAGAUGAUUAUAAUUCUCGUGGGAAGCCCAAAUUGCAGGUUUCAUAUAAUGGGAUUUUGAUACAUGCUGCUUCAGUUUAUACCCGUAUUAUUUUUCAGAAGUUUAAUGAAGAAUUUUUAGAAUGUCUCUCUGAACAAAUUUCAGGUACUACAUUUGAUGGAUCGGUAUAUUUAUAUAUCAUAAGGUGUAUGGGAAAUCGACGUGAACACCUUGUCAGAUUUAACCCUGUAGAGUUAUCAAUUUCUUGUGAAUGCAAAUUAUUUGAAUCAAAAGGGUGGUUGUGUCGCCAUGCAUUGCACGUGUUGAAUAAGAAUAUAUCGGUGGUUAAGAGCAUUCCAUCUUCCUAUAUUUUGAAAAGAUGGACUAAGGGUGCCAAAGAAGGGAUUGUGAAUGAUGAAUCUUUGCCACCUGGUCCGUCUAAAUUUGAUCGAUUUGCCACGUUAAUGCAAGAAUCUUUUGAGCUGAUGAUUUUGGGAGCCAAAGAUGUAAACACUAUGCAGAUAAUGAUGGAGAAUAUGAAAAUAGCGAAGGGUCAAAUUUCAUCAUACAAGUCAAGUAUAAUUGUGACUGAUGAUGCUGGUGAUGAUGGUGAUAAUGAGGAUUCUUUGUGCGAUAUCUCGGUAUUAGAUCCCAUUCGAAGGAAAGGAAAGGGAAUAAGUUAUGGAAAACUAAAAAGUUCAAGUGAGAAAAAAAAGAAAAAAUCUAUCAAAGGAACACCCCCAAUGCAAAUAGACAAUCGAGAGUUGGUUUUUCAAGCAACACAUAAGGAAACUCAUUUUUCAAAUCAUUUGAGUAAUUCGAAUCAAUUUGAAAGUAUCUUUUAUCCCAGCAACAUUGGUGGUCCUACCGUAAAUUUUAAUAAUCAGAUGCAACAACCGCCAUACAUCAUGCCAUUGGGGAUUAUGAAUGGAUUUUGUCAAUUUCAUAAUCAGAUGCAAUCAUCAUAUAUCAUGCCGCCAAGCAAUUUGAAUGGAUUUUCUCCAUUCACUAGUCAGUUUAUUUUGGAUAGAUGUUGGAGCAUUAUAAUAGAUCUCAUGGAACCAUUUUGAGUCAGGGGUCAUCAAAUUCUUUUCAACAUCUUGGGAUGAAUGAAUCCGGAGGCCCCUCUAAAAGCACAGAUAAUGCACAGUCACAACAUAAAUAGCCUAGAGGAACCCUCAUAUAGGAAUAAUAAGUGAAGAGCAAGUGGAUUGCUUCAACAUGCCACUGUAUCCUGCGUCUCCGGCGGAGAUUGCACGGCUAGUCAAAAUGGAUGGUAGUUUUCACAUAGAGAAGAUGGAGUUGCUCAACACCCAAACGAGGUAUGAAGGUGGAGUCCAUGCACAGGAUAUUGUGAUACACCUAAGAGCGGGCUUGGAGGGGAUCAUCAGCAAACACUUCGGAAGCAAGAUCAUUGACGAAGUAGCUUGCCAUGAACACACCACGGAAAACUUAAGAAAUGAUCUUCAUGAGCCUCCUCCUUAUAGCAGCCCCAGAAAUUAGGGUGGUAGGUCACAUGAUACCGAGCUGAUGCCUUUGCAUAAAUGUUAACACCACCAGAAGCUUAUCCUGACUCUGUAUCAUCGAACCAUGACCUGGCUUGCUUUCUCAAGGACCUCGCAGCAGAAUUUAUACCUUCCAGGUCUCUUCUUUUAUCAAAAUAUUUCGACUUUGUCAGGAUAUUGCCACUCAGCAUUUCGGCCUUGGUUUUGAUGUCAUAAUAAUGCAUCAACCUCCUCAAUUUGCAAUCAUACUCAAGUUUGUACUGAAAGGCUUCCAUGACAUAGUCCUCAAAGCCUUGUAUUUCCAUUCUACAAUUGUGAGCUCAGAGCAACUUCCCUCGUGAAGGAAUUUAUAGAA